UAGCAGUCAAUUGUACGGAAAUUGAAUCAGAUAAAUAGAAAGCAGAAUUAUCUGAAAGAAAGAGAGAGAUGGGAAGCGUACAACCAGCCCAGAUACCCACGAGCUUCGGCCACGAGCUUAGGGCUUGCCUCCGUUGCCGCCUCGUCAAGACCUACGAUCAGUUCAGAGAAUCAGGAUGCGAGAACUGCCCAUUCUUCAAGAUGGAGGAAGAUUUCGAUCGUGUUGCCGAUUGCACCACCCCCAAUUUCAAUGGGAUUAUUUCAGUUACGGAUCCAACUAGGAGUUGGGCUGCAAAAUGGCUUCGACUUGGAAGAUUUGUACCUGGUGUUUACACUCUUGCUGUUUCAGAGGUUCUUUCAGAGGAUUUGCGGAAUUUAUGUGAAGAUGAGCAGGUGCAAUACGUACCACCCAAACGUGUGUGAAUUUGACCAAAAGAAAAGAAGGUGCAUGCGUGUUCUUUUGUCAGACCAAAACAAAGCCGUGGAAAACUAUGUAGAAGCAAAUACCUUGAAUUUAUGUGAAGAUGAGCAGGUGCAAUACGUACCACCCAAACGUGUAUGAAUUUGACCAAAAGAAAAGAAGGUACAUGCGUGUUCUUUUGUCAGACCAAAACAAAGCUGUGGAAAAAUAUGUAGAAGCAAAUACCUUGGUAUGAAAACUGUUGGUGGUUUAAAGUGAAAGUUUCGUACGAAUUUCUGUUAUAGUAUCGAAGCAGCUUGUAAGAUAUUGUUAGCAUAAGAAGUAAUAAUUUAGUCUCAAAUUUUCAA